ensembl:misc_RNA Metazoa_SRP Metazoan signal recognition particle RNA
GCUGGGCGUGGUGGCUCACGCCUGUAAUCCUAGCAGUUUGGGAGGCUGAGGCAGGUGGAUUGCUUGAGGUCAGGAGUUCAAGACCAGCCUGGCCAACAUGGCGAAACCCUGUCUCUA